AACGAAUUAGGAAGCUUGCUUCUGAUACUUAGUGGCGGACGGGUGAGUAAUGCUUAGGAAUCUGCCUAGUAGUGGGGGAUAACUUGGGGAAACCCAAGCUAAUACCGCAUACGACCUACGGGUGAAAGGGGGCUUUUAGCUCUCGCUAUUAGAUGAGCCUAAGUCGGAUUAGCUGGUUGGUGGGGUAAAGGCCUACCAAGGCGACGAUCUGUAGCUGGUCUGAGAGGAUGAUCAGCCACACUGGGACUGAGACACGGCCCAGACUCCUACGGGAGGCAGCAGUGGGGAAUAUUGGACAAUGGGCGAAACGCUGAUCCAGCCAUGCCGCGUGUGUNAAGAAGGCCUUUUGGUUGUAAAGCACUUUAAGUGGGGAGGAAAAGCUUAUGGUUAAUACCCAUAAGCCCUGACGUUACCCACAGAAUAAGCACCGGCUAACUCUGUGCCAGCAGCCGCGGUAAUACAGAGGGGGCAAGCGUUAAUCGGAAUUACUGGGGCGUAAAGCGCGCGUAGGUGGUUAUUUAAGUCAGAUGUGAAAGCCCCGGGCUUAACCUGGGAACUGCAUCUGAUACUGGAUAACUAGAGUAGGUGAGAGGGGAGUAGAAUUCCAGGUGUAGCGGUGAAAUGCGUAGAGAUCUGGAGGAAUACCGAUGGCGAAGGCAGCUCCCUGGCAUCAUACUGACACUGAGGUGCGAAAGCGUGGGUAGCAAACAGGAUUAGAUACCCUGGUAGUCCACGCCGUAAACGAUGUCUACCAGUCGUUGGGUCUUUUAAAGACUUAGUGACGCAGUUAACGCAA
rnacentral:rRNA from 1 species